rnacentral:lncRNA from 1 species
GCGUUCUUGCUGGUUUUCCAGUGGUUGAUGUUCGUGCCGUGCUAGUCGAUGGUACUUACCAUGAUGUAGAUUCAAGUGUCUUGGCCUUUCAACUUGCAGCUAGGGGAGCUUUCAGAGAAGGGAUGAGGAAAGCAGGUCCUAGAAUGCUCGAACCAAUCAUGAAAGUUGAAGUUGUCACACCUGAAGAACAUCUGGGAGACGUAAUUGGAGAUCUCAACUCCAGGAGAGGCCAGAUCAACAGCUUUGGUGACAAGCCUGGUGGCCUCAAGGUAUGCCACUAUCCUAAAUGCAUUCACACCAUGAAAACUUCACUGACACACAAUCAUAUUCAUUAAUGAACAACUAUUAUACGUUCAAUAGAGCAUAUGAUCAACAACAAAGCUUCCAUUGAAUGCAGGUCGUGGAUGCGCUGGUUCCCCUAGCCGAGAUGUUUCAAUACGUCAGUACACUAAGGGGGAUGACAAAAGGAAGAGCUUCAUACACAAUGCAAUUAGCCAAGUUUGAUGUUGUUCCUCAGCACAUCCAGAACGAGCUUGCUGCCAAAGAGCAAGAAGUUGCUGCUUGAUUUUGGUUGAAACAACCUGCGAUUCUUUGUCUGC